rnacentral:lncRNA from 1 species
GUAAGGGAGGUGAAUCACUUGGAUUGCUUAAGUACCAAGCCUUGUCCUAGCCAAAAGUGUCCUAAGCUACUUACUUAGUUGUUGUUACUUGCAAGCUUACUUUUAAAAUCACAAAGAAGACUCAAAAGCAAAAUCAAAACAAAAGGAAACAAGAAUUGGGACUCUAAAAAGUCGGACUCUAGGCGCGCUCCUAGUCCUUGAAUGAAAGGCAAUGAAAGCUUGAAAGUAAAGAUGGAAAAGUAAAGGUGAGAUCUCCUAAGGUGAGGCUUAGACUUUGGAUCUAAGACACACUCACCGACUACCCAAUUUUAGGUUGUGAGACUUCUUGAGUCUAGUUAAUAAAUGAGGGAAGAUCACUUAUGAACUCUACCACCUCACUUGCUUGAAUUGGC